rnacentral:rRNA from 1 species
AUUGAACGCUGGCGGCAUGCUUUACACAUGCAAGUCGAACGGCAGCGCGGGCUUCGGCCUGGCGGCGAGUGGCGAACGGGUGAGUAAUACAUCGGAACGUGCCCAGUAGUGGGGGAUAGCUCGGCGAAAGCCGGAUUAAUACCGCAUACGACCUGAGGGUGAAAGCGGGGGAUCUUCGGACCUCGCGCUAUUGGAGCGGCCGAUGGCAGAUUAGCUAGUUGGUGGGGUAAAGGCCUACCAAGGCGACGAUCUGUAGCUGGUCUGAGAGGACGACCAGCCACACUGGGACUGAGACACGGCCCAGACUCCUACGGGAGGCAGCAGUGGGGAAUUUUGGACAAUGGGCGAAAGCCUGAUCCAGCAAUGCCGCGUGUGUGAUGAAGGCCUUCGGGUUGUAAAGCACCUUUGGCGGGAACGAAAAGGACUGUGCCAAUACCACGGUUCGAUGACGGCACCCGCAGAAUAAGCACCGGCUAACUACGUG